rnacentral:lncRNA from 1 species
AUGAAUCAAUAGGAGUCUGUCAUUGCCUCUAAGUGGAGCAAAGUCAGGCCCCAAGUCAGGUGGCUGGAUGACAACAUAAAUCUUCCUGCAGAGUUCUGUGCAUUAGGGACGGCUUGGCAAUUUUCUGAAAAAGUACCUCCAAUGAUUUCCUCCCCUGCCUCAGCAACUGCUCCCAGCUCCUAACUCCACCCCUGCUUAUCACUGCUCAUCUCUCACGCUUUGUAUCCUCUGCUUUCCUGCCUCCUUAUCAAGUUUUUUCUGUGCCGUAGGCAGGACCUCCUGCUGCUGUCUCUGUAUUGUUUUAGGUGCAGGUGUCUGUGCCAAAACAUCUUUCCCUGAUAAACCCAAAUGCCUUCUCAGAACUCCCUUCCCUGUACUGUUGGCAGUAAGUCAUCUUUAAUCACACUGUUGGUCCAAAAUUUCGUUUGGUUUGGGUUGGGUUGGUUUUUUUUUUUUUUUCAGAAAGGUAAUUUCAUUGCUCUUUUCCAGCCUUCCCAUAAAAGUGGCCAUUUUUUAUCAGCACAGCUGGCUGGGAAGCAUGACUCAUACAUAAAUUACCUCUUUUACUGCCUUCCUUCCCUUUGUCAGCCCUUCUGCUGUCAGCUACCUGGGACAGGACCAUUAUUCUUCAGUGUUUAGCAAACACUCUACACAUAAUGGGCGAUACUGUAAACAAAUGAAAAUCAGACCUGAAAUCAAAUGCAAGCUGACUGACAGGACUUUUGUGAAGCCCUCUGAGCUCUGCAGGGGUUUAAUCAGCUGUGCUGCAGGGCUGUGCUACAGGGGCUCUCUCUGCCUUACUGCCGUGCUCAGACAGGGUCCCAGGAGGGGGAUGGCCACGGAAAUCGGGUCUUUAGCUCUGUAACCCGUGGCACGCUCGGCUUGGUUAAGAACGAUCGGUGCCUUCCAGCUGAGAAGAACCCUGUGACUUGUGACUGGCAUGAGAUGAUGGAUAGCCCAGCACUUACUGCCUAAUCAGAAUUUCUUCCAGGGAAAUCGGGGGAAGUGAUAGAAAUUAAUGCUAAGGAAUGGCAAACUGCAGGAGAUGUCAAAUCUGAUGGGGGAAACUUCCCAAGACAAGUUGGCCCUUUUUAGUGAGGGCAGAAGCUCAUAAAAAAUCCCGUGCAAACAAAUUUUGGUCAUGCUGUAGAGAAGAGAACACAGGGAAAGGCAGAGAUUGUAAAGAUGACUAAGUGCUAAUCUGAGCAUGAGUGAAAAUCAGGGGGAAACAGGAAAGCAAGUUCAGAGGGCUGCAGUAUUUCAGCUACCAAGUGUGAACACAAGAAAUGAGCAGCAAAACUGCUGCAUGGCAUGGCACAGCUCAACUGGCUGACCAUUAUGCCAUCAAACCAUUAUGAAUAGUAUUGCAUGGUAUUAUUUGUAGGAGAAACAGCAAUGCUUUCAUAGUACCAGCAGUGAGAAGCUUGUGAAUAUACAUGUGUUGGAAGUGGAUGUUGUUUCUGUGGUAUUGCCUACCCCAAACACUCAUAACUUUUAAGUUAGGCUCAGGAAGUGGUGCAAGUGGCUUGAAAAUCGAUGGGCCUAUAAAAACACUCCAUACAUUCUAAAUGUUUCUCUUCUAGUUUUCAACCUUCAUGGUUUAUUUCUGUAGUGCAAGGGUAGAGUCUGCUCCAAGUGUCUGCAACAGAGCCAGAGAUUAGACUUCAAACACCAGACUUCCCUCAGCCUUGUGGUUUAUCCCUUCUUGGGAAUACAAGGAACCCCAUGGAAUUCAGCAUUCAGGAUCUUCCCAACAUGCUUAGAAGAGGAUCUCUUCAGCCUAAAAUGCCUGUGAAGAAUAGAGCCACCCUCUUUCCAGAUGGGAUGACGCUAAUGACCCAGCAAAACUAUGAAGUGUGUCAGCAAAGGGAGGUUUUGGCAGGGAAAUGUCAAAGCUGAACAAAAAUACAGGAUGUGAAUAAUUAACCAUCCUUUCCCCAAACCACAACAUUUGACCCAAAUCUCAAUCAUUAAUUCAGGCGUAAAAACCCUUUCACAUGAUUCUAUCAUGUUCUUAAUUCCUACUCUCAGUGUGCUCCUUGCCAUGGCAUACGGCAUCAGUGGCAUUUGAGGCUGCCUAACACUGGAAUUUCAGUCCCUUGCAGUGGUUAAUUUAUAAAAGAACUUCCCAUAUUCUAUUUGAAGGAUUUUUAUCUAACCCACUGGAUUAAGCUGCCUCUUACCUGGAGAAAUAGUUCUUCUCCCUAUGUGUUUGUUAUGAUGCUGAUGUGUGCUCAUGAGAUGAGUUAAAAGGAGUCUGUUCCCAGGUCUGACAAGGUGUGCAUUUAUGUGGAAAACAGUGUAAAUAAAACCAACCAACCAAAAAGUCCUUCUUUCCAGCUCUCCAGAAAUAGCUAAAUGUUGCAUAUUGUCAGCAGAAUUUUAUGUUUUGGGAAUUCUGUCCCCAGCAUGUUUGCUUCUUUUCAUCUAGACAAUAAAAC